rnacentral:lncRNA from 1 species
CUUUGAAAGAGGAGAUGGGGCCCUCAUUUCACUCCAACCAUAGGGAAUGUUGACAUGUGGCAGUGAGAAGCAUGAAAAAGUUUAACAAGAAGAAUUUAAAAAGCACACAGAUAGAAUAGAAGAUGGGCCCAGACUGGGCCCUCAAGAAAGAGGCACCUUAUGUUCAGAGGUCAGACAUUUUUAUGUGGUCUUGGGGCAUCCUAAAGAAUCUUUACCUUCAUAUGUGGCUUCAAUUUUAUUUUUGUUUUCAUGAAGCUUUGAUACUCAUC